rnacentral:lncRNA from 1 species
ACCGCUCCAACACACGGUACUUUUCCUUCUCCGGUUAUCCCUUCUCUUUCAUUUUCUUUUUUUCUUCUAUUUUCUCCAAGGUUUUUGCUGCUCUCUCCCUCUCUUUCUUCUACUCCCCUAAUCUCAUCUUUGCAUUUUAACUCCCUAUUUAACUUUCUCGUUUUUUCCCAUUUAAGGUUAAACUCUUUCUAAUUACUGCUGAGUUUGGUUGCUCUCCAUUUCAGGUUAACUUUCUCGUUUCACCUUUGAUUUUCUCAAGUUUUCUAUUUGGUUGCUGAGUUUGAUUCUUUUGCUGGUUUGAUUUUCUUAGGACUUAAAAGAGUCCUAAUAAUGGCAAACACACGGAACAAUUAACCCCUAAUCAAAGAGAAACAGUGAAAAAUGGGAAUUCCCUACAACAUUAUUUAUGUGAGCAGAAAGAAUUUAUUAAGAAAUAAAAGAUAACAAAACUUGACAGGGUUUUUAACAACGAAGCCUUCAUCAAUUACCAUACUACGUUUUUAAAGAUUGAAAAGAAAAAAGGUAGCUAUUAUCCUUGGGACCAAUUCUUUUCUUGCUCCUGAUUGUUUUUUGGCUGCCAAAUUUGUUUGGCUUCAAGGUUCAAAAACUUUCACGAUCUCUCUCUUUCAAGGAAAAUCCAGAUUGAAAAUCAUCGUUCUGGUUCCAAGUAUGUCCCUUUUUUUCUCUUGGAAAAGAAUGAACUUUUCUUUGUGUUCUUUGAAAGUUCAAUUCCGUGGUUGUCUUUUUGGUUUUCUUCUUUCUUUCUUUUUUUUGUUUCAUUAAUAGCUGUGAUUAAAGCUCGAUUAAGGUUGUUGGCUUGAAAUGGCGUUAAGCUAUUCCAACACAUGAACUUUUUCUUUUUCUUUUUUUCAUGGUAAAAGGGGAUGUUGGGAAAUAUUUAUAGCUUGGGAUUUCAUGCUAAUGGAAACAUUGAUAUAUUUUCAGGUGUAUUUGGUUAGGAAGAAUAUCUGAUUUUGCUUGGUUCUGUUAGAACAAAGUCAGCAGCAACAAGUUAUUUGCUUAAGAACUAAAUGAAACCGAGAGCAAAAAUGAAAAGAACUUGAGCACAAGUACAAAACAUGGAUCAAAAUCAGCAGCAAUCUUUAUUGAUUGAUAAUGAAAAAAUAAAUACAAAGUUAACAAGUCAAAUGACCAUUACCUAAUGAUUCACCUACUCCCACUAAUAAUCAACUAAUACAAGUUAAAUUUUAAACCAAAGCAAGCUGAUGUAUCAGUCAUUACAUCCAUUACAUCAAAAAUCCUACUAACUUAGAUUACAAAUUACAAACAAACUAAAGUUGGUUACAUUGGAACAAAAAGAACAAAAUUAGUCCUAAGCUAGUUGCUGCAUUCGGUUCUGCUCCACUGCUGGUCUGCUUGCUGACUUGCUGGCCAUAUGUUGCAUUGCAGGCCAAUGCUUACCAGGUUCAUUUGAUUUCAACUGCUUUUUCUUUUCUUUUCCUACUAUUCUAAUUUGUGGGUAUGUUUAAAAUUUUCAAGCUUGUUUUAGCUAAAUUUAGAUGCUGGAACUUGGAAGAUCAGUCUUGAAAGCUUCACACUAGUUCAUAAAAAAAUUGUUCUUUUUUCAACUUAAUUAGCAUAUCCUCAAAUCUCAUGUUUGUAUGUUGUGGAUGAAUCAUAACUUAGGCAGAAACACCUUUCCUUCAAAGGAAAUCUAAAGUUGAAAUCCUUUUUUCUCAAUUAACUUUGUACUUUAUAUAUCUCCGUAUAUGUACUAGAAAAACAGUUCUUUUUCUAUUGAUCUUUAUUUUUCAAGUUAACUUUCUGUUUUGUUAGCUUUGAUGUUCUCUUUAUGGAUGUGAUUAUUUAUAGGAUUGUUAUUUGGUAAAUUAUUGCUGUGCAUAAACUUUAUAUCUAAUAUACUGGACAUUGUGAUGAUAGAAU